rnacentral:lncRNA from 1 species
UCGCUAACGUGUUUCGCUAUGUGGAGUGAAGCCCUAUAAAAGCCUCACCCUUCCCCAUCUCUCUUUCCGUCAGAUUUUCUCUCUCUAUAUGCGCAGUUUCUCCCCCGUUUGGGAAAGCUCUCUCUCUCUAAGUCGACUCUUUGCAAUCCACCCAUAAGCAUUUGAGUACAUAUCAUUUCUAUUUUGCAUAUUCUCUGCUUGAUUUUGCACAUCUAGGUUUUAAUUUGAAUUCAGAUUCGAAUGUGAAUCUUUUGUGUUACGGAGUAGGUUGUUUAACUAAGGGAAGCUAGGAUUUUUCUUCAACUACAGUGCAUUUUGUUGCAGUUAUAGGAGGGUGAUUAAUUCGAUCUGUGCCCGAAUGGAUUCGAUAACAUCUUCGUUAUUGCCAAUUGCAAGUAGAGAUGCUGAGGCUGCAGCGGGGACGGUGUCUGUAGACGAUUUUGCUAUGUCAGUUACUGCUAGUUUCGCUAAGGAGGCUACCUUGCGCUUCCAAGCUGGGAAGUUUGCGGACUGUGUGAAAGUCUUGAAUGAACUCUUGCGGUUAAAAGAGAACGAUCCGAAGGUGGUUUAUUUCUGAAAUUCUGGAUUAUGAUGAAUAGUCUCAUUUUUAUUGUUCGGUGUUGAGUCCAAGUUUUAUAUUUAUUUCUAUUCUGGUCGGGGUUGUAGCUGAUUUUUUUUUUUUUAUUGCAUCCUGGGGAUUUACACUUGGAUUUAAGAGAGAUGCGCGUAAUGACCGAGACAUAAACAAAUAGUAUUUCUGUUCUAAUGGGAGAAAUCAUAUUCUUAAAGUUGCUACUCGAUCAAUGCUAUUGUACUUCAUUUUAGGGUCUGAGUUGUUCUUGACGUGCAGCAUAUCAUAUUUUUCUCUCUUAUGCCUCAUAGUUUGCCUUCUUAUGACUUUUUGGGUACUUGGUAGAAGAACUAAUCUUAUGUGACCAUCGUUGUGCCUGGCUUCUAUGUCUGGGAUUGUAAGAAUGGUUGACUCUCGAAAUGUAGUUUAGGCCUGGUAUUUUGAGGUAUGUGGCAACAUGGUUUUGUCAGUAGUUUUAAAAUGUUGUGGAAUCUUAGUGCACGAUGAAAUGUAAAUUUUCUCCAAAGGACCAUUUUUUCUAAGGCCAAGAAGAAAAAAUUUUACUCAAGAAUUCACAUGUCCAUUUACUUCUUCAAUAGCCAUCAAGGCCAAAACAUUCCCUAGUUGAUCAACUUGACCUCUAACUCGAUCCUCAACACAAUCAACUCGAUCCUCAAACUUGAGCCUUUGCUUGAUCAACUUGAUCCUCAAGUUACACGGAAAACUCAUGAGUCGAAAGCUAGAACUCUACCUUAUAUAUACUCCCUUAUUGUUCGAGUUUCUAGUACAUAUGAGAAAUUUAUCAUCUUUAAGAUGGGGUUAAUUUUGAAAUUAUGGAAGAUUGACUAAAUAAGUAAGGCUUCUCAUAAAUCUUGAGGGGUAGCUCAGUAGUCAGGCCUUGGGUUUACUUUCCGGUGGUCACCAGUUCGAGUCCUUUUAGGGCCACUGAGAUGAGUAUCCGGCUAUAAAAUUCAGGGCCCCGUGGGAUUAGUCGAGGUGCACGUAAGCUUGUCCGGACACCCACGGUCAUAAAAAAAAAGUAAGGCUUAUCAUAGAAAAGUUUUAAAAGAAGUCUGGUACCGUAAAAACUAUGCUAUAGUGAGAUUAGGGGUA